UCUCGGAUUGUAUCAUUUUUCACGCGAGGCGGAUCUGCGUAAAAUAAUGCGCGCUUGUAUCAGCGAGAUCUAUAUUCUAUAUUCUAUAGCGGUAAUAAGAAGGAAUACAGAAACAGCCUCGCGUGCUUGCAUUUCCAUACAUGGCGAAUCGAGGAAAGGGCGUUGCAUCUUGGCAUCUUUCGCGGCCAUUUUUCUUGUCGGCUCAUCGAUCCGUAUCCGUGAAUUUAUUGCUUCGACCGUGAGACGAGGACCGGACUUGAUCCGCGGAGCGGACUUGAUUCGCCACGCUUCGGAGAAGCCUCUUCGGGAUAGCGCCUUGUCCGUCAAUUCCUCUCCCCGCAGUGGAAACAUUCGGCGAUACACAUCGAUUAUUUAUCCGCCGUCCCUGCAAGUUCCAACGCGCGCAAUUCCGUCCAUCGUUCCGUUCAAUGAUUCGCUCUGGCAGUAUUACACAGAGAAACUCUCAUUCUGGAUCCGAGGAAUACUAUAGCAAUCCAGAUAAAUAUGAGGGGUCAGCAUUAAAAGAUUAAGUACGUGACACGGUUGCCGUGACGGUUGCGCGUCAGACGGUAUGAAUUAUUGUGAUUAAUCCAGUCUAUGUAAUCAACUCUGCUAGUACAUCUGCUUACAUCGAUCGAUUGCUUCUUGUCGAUGAUACUGAAUAUUCCGAUUAUCGACGCCCAUUCCCGUAAUGAAACGUUUGCGAUCUCACAAUGCGAACAAGUUUGCGCUCUUAUACCGAAAUGUGAGGCGGAGGGAUUCUUCUUGCACGCACUGCAUCAAAUCCACCGACUGAAGCAUGUUUUGUCAUCCUCACGGGUCACCAUGUGGUCUUGUCAAUUGAACGAACAGGAAAACGCAUUGGAUUUUCAAUGCGGUCGUGUGAACGCAAUUUUCUAUGGACGGAUCACUUUCUUCCAGUCUCUUAAGAAGAAGCGUCGAGAUGCGGUGAUAGCGAGCUUCGCAUAGCAGCUGUUGCUGCGUAUGAUAGCGUAAGGUACGGUUUAAUGUACCUCGAAGCCGACGUGAGUGCAUACUUGCCUAUCCGCGUUGCUGUUUACUCCCUUCACGUACGGCAUAUGGCGCACAAUGAUUUUUCCUUGAAGAUAAUUAUGCGAAACCAUCUAUCCGAGUAAAGGACACCACUUGCGCCUCUUUCCUUCCUUCCUUCUCUUGCGCUACUCUGUUUCACGUACGGGGACUCUCGUUACCUACGCACACGAGAAAAUUGCGUCAUGAGCGAGCGAACGUGAAUAUAAUGCGCUCAGAGUAGUUCGAAAAUUGCCCAUCUGCUCUACUAAUAAGAUACUGUUAGUACGGAAUGAAAUAACGUGAACGAUUUCAAAAUACGGUCUAAUCAGGAUAUGGAAAGAUCGCAAUCGACAUGAUUUAUUUCGAGUUGGAUUGUAUGCAUAACGUUAUAUUUUUGCAGUACUUUACACCUAUAGUUAUUAUAUUGUAAUAAUAUUUCGCGGGGCUCAUGUCUUUUUUCUCAUUACGCAGACGCACGUAGGGGGGCGGAUGAAAGGGUACAGACGGGAAGGAAGGACAAGAGAGAGAGAGAAAGAGAGAGAGUCCCGUCUGCUAAUUUGAAUAUUGAGUUGCGGGGGUGUCGGUAACGGGCAGCUGCACAACUCGCAUAAAACAUAAAACGUCUCUAGAACCAUUUGCUCCUCCAGACGGAGGAACGUGGGUGCGUUCGAGUCAAGCCAAAUAUCUACCUACUCCUUUGAGUACCGAAAGAUCUCCUGCGAACGACGCCCCGAAGACAAAACGCUCGCGUGUCCCGAACAAAUUCUUCGAACUCUCACGAAACUCGUUUACUUUUCGCUCGCUGACGCGCGAAUUUAUAUUCGUACGUGAGAAAAAAUGAAAUUUUUUUAUUAUUGUAGUAAAUACUUAUCCUUAUAUCGUGUACAAAAAAGUGUGCGUGUUUUCGAUAAUUUAUAAAUGAUGGUUUCAUGUCUCCCAUUCUCCCAGCCUACGCAAUCAUAUCUUACAAUUAGAAGAAAGUAACGCAUUUUAUAAUGACGGGAACGAUUUGAAGGAUGUGAGAAAGUGGUCAUUAUUUUAAAAUACUUAUCUUUGUAUUGUGUAUAAGUUUCGAUAAUUUAUAAACGA